UUAUCAUUGAUUUUUCCAGCUCUUUGUGUCCCUCUUUCGAUCUUUUGGAAGAGGUGUCCCUUACAGGUUUCGUUCCUCUAGGUCACCUUCUUGGUGGCUGUCAGACCGGCUAAAAGAUUCAGUGAGCUUCAGGCAAUUUCUUCCCCAGAUGAUUUUUGCAGUAUUGCUAUGCAGAGGGUGGUUCUUCACCUUACAAAACUUCAUUUUUUUCCUACAAGUCAACCGAUUGUGUCUGCUUUCUCUUGGGUGGUUGUCCCACCUCUCUUCGGGAGCUUAGAGUUUUUUUCUUGGAACAUUUCAAGGUUUUUCUUCCUAGGACUGAGGAGCUCAGGUGUUCUGGCCUGCUGUUUGUUAACCUCCAGUGUAGAUUCCAGGGGUACGGAGCUUCCUGCAAAAAACUUUGGUUUAAAUUGACUCAGACAAGCCAGUAGAUUGGCAUAUUUUUCCAAUGGUCCUUAAGUGCCGAUAUCUCUCACGGCUCUUUUCACUCAGGAUAAUGGCUGCCCCUGGGGGGUAGGGGGGUAGAGCUCUUGUUUCUCCAGUAGAUGUCUGUAAGGCAGCAUCUUGGGCUGCCUUUCCACAUCAUCUUUCUUCU